CCGAGAAUCUCCCGAACCCUAGAUGGAGUACUUUCUGACAGAAUUUCUGAGAACUGAUGAAAGAGGUAGUUCGUUGGAAUCAUGCUUGACUGGUUCUUCUUCAUUUUGUUUCACCUUAACCUGGUCUUGCAGAUGAAUCUCUUAU